CGCACGCAGGCGGUUUGUUAAGUCAGAUGUGAAAUCCCCGGGCUCAACCUGGGAACUGCAUCUGAUACUGGCAAGCUUGAGUCUCGUAGAGGGGGGUAGAAUUCCAGGUGUAGCGGUGAAAUGCGUAGAGAUCUGGAGGAAUACCGGUGGCGAAGGCGGCCCCCUGGACGAAGACUGACGCUCAGGUGCGAAAGCGUGGGGAGCAAACAGGAUUAGAUACCCUGGUAGUCCACGCCGUAAACGAUGUCGACUUGGAGGUUGUGCCCUUGAGGCGUGGCUUCCGGAGCUAACGCGUUAAGUCGACCGCCUGGGGAGUACGGCCGCAAGGUUAAAACUCAAAUGAAUUGACGGGGGCCCGCACAAGCGGUGGAGCAUGUGGUUUAAUUCGAUGCAACGCGAAGAACC
rnacentral:rRNA from 1 species